UUCCUCACUGGGGUAUGACAGUUUAAAAAGAAUUUCAGCUCCAUCUGGGAAAGCAGACACUUGCAGGUCCGGGAAACAACCUCUCUUUUCCUUUGGGCUGGAGCAGGAAGUGCCAUGGGAGGCUGGACCUCUUCCUUCCUUCACCCCACAGUAUAUUUUCCUUCUUUGAUGACACUUUGCUUUGAUCCAGGAAGUGGCCCUUACAGGAGCUAAAUAAAACAUAAUCAAUAAAAUCAAAAUAAAACAAAACAGAAGAAGGGACCUCUCCUUCUGUCACCACCCCUGGGCCCUGGCUCCUUCCUGUAGCACUUGGCAUGGUUCUGACCCAACCCAGGGGCCCAAGCAGGGGGGUCACUCCUCACUGCUAACCUUGAGGGUGAUGGAGAAGAGGGAGGAGUAUGUGCUCUCAAAACACUAGUCCCCUCAUUUUGGAGGGUCUUCCUUGUGGGUAAAACCAGUAGUAACUCACCUCAAAGCUCUUGUAAUACAAGCAUUUCAAAAUUUUAUAGAUGAGGAAAAUGGAGUUCAGAGAUGUGAAAUUACUGCCCAUAGCUCAGAGUUAGUUAGUCUAAGAGAUGUUGCUAGGACCCAGAUAAUUUGGAUUCUUUGUCCACUGCUCUGUCCUCCAGGUCACCAUGUGUCCACUACAGUAUGCUAAAUCAAAAACCAUUUGGUCACUUAAAAUAAUGUUUUUUGUACUUUUUAAAGUGUUGUCUAAGCCUACUUUACAAAGACAAAAAAUUAUACAUAUACAUGCAUAUCUGAUUUUAGACAAGUUUAAAAUCAGUAUUACAGCAUGCAGGGCUGGAUCGGCUGAGAGUUCACUUUGAGCUUAGGAGGAAGGAGGCCAAGGGCCUGGUCAGGGCCGGAGUGCCACCGGGGCUGUAUGAUGUUGUUCACAACUUCGCUAGCUCCUAAAAAUAGCACUUAGGAUGCAAAAUAGGUUCUCUUUUUGUUGUUGCAUAAAUCAGGGUGUCUUAGAUGAGAUCGAUUUUCUUCAUUUCCUCUGACAAUAGGCCCACUUUUCAUUCAUGCAUCUGGAGAGGUCAAUUCCACAGCCGUUCAUCACACAUCCGCCAUGAGCCGGGCACCGGCGUACUGCCAGAAGGUCAUGGCCCAGCGAGGCCAGGCCUCAGUCUGCCGACCAGAAUCAGAGAAAGACACAGCGAGAGAGGGAAUACAAGCAAGGGAGAGGAAGAAGGAAGCUUCCCCCUGAGCAGAGAGCCCAACGCAGAGCUCAAUCCCAGGACACUGGGAUCACGACCCGAGCUGAAGGCGCAUGCUUAAUGACUGAGCCACCCAGGCAACCAGUGAGUGCCUGUUGUUUUGUCUGCACAACAUACAAUCCUGUCUGGUAAGGCAUCUGACCUGUGAGCAUUCUCCACUCCCAGGCCAUGGUGUGAGGAUGGAGCCAAACUCACCAGUCUAGAGACUUACCUUAAAGCCCUGGAUGUUCCCUGGGCUUCAGUUUUCUGAUGUCACAUGAAGUCUCAAUAUCAUCCUGGAGUAGAUCUAUUUAAAAGAUUGAGCAAAAGCAAGGAGCAGUCAUUAGGAUUCAGCUUGGUCUCUCUUGUAGUGGUAGGACAUUUUGUAAAGUCCCUUGGACAUGGAGUCUGGAGUAUAGGCUUUGAGUUAAGACACUAUUAUUGACCAUCUUUCUAACCUGGAUACUUGAGUACUUGUGUGAGUACUCAUGACUCUUCAUUGUGUGUGCUUGUGCAGUACUCUCACCUGAUUUCCCCAUCAGUGACAUGCUGUGUUGUACAACAUUCAGCAUGUAUUUCCAACUCCAUAGUGCAUGAUGCAAAAUCAUGCUGACGGAUCCAGGGAUUAGUGUACUGGAUUUCAGACAAGCGUCUUACAAGAUUUUCAUAGUGUUGUUCAGGAGAAAGGUGAGAAAAAGAGAAAGAGAAAUUCAGUAUCAGUGACUAAAGGUAGGUGCAACAUGUCUACAAGAAUUCACAGAGACCAGCAUUCCCAGAGGUGACACAUGACCAUUCAAAAGACUGUUCCAUUACCUUGGACUUUAUCAAUAGCUGAAGUAACUGAAGGCAUUCUUACCAACUUUCAGAUGACAAAGAACUGGGAAGAAUGGCGAAUACAUAAUAACAGAAAUAGUAAGUUUCAAACAAAUUUAAUAUUCUGAAUUGAUGGUUUAGAGCUACGCCUAUCUAUCUAUCUAUCUAUCUAUCUAUCACUACCUUCUAUCUAAAGGAAUAGUAUCCAGCAGGUUAAGAAAAAAGUCAACUACACAAAUGUGGUUCAUGUGAAAAAGACCUGGAAGGUUUGAGAUACUACAAGCUGAAUACGAAUCAUCAGUAAUACAAAUCAUCAGUAACUGUUCAAAAUGCAAAUGCAGUGCUAGUUUGCAUUAACAGCUAAGGAGAGCCUUGUUCAAUGGACAUAAGAGCUUGCUUCACUGGCCACCCCCUUUUGUAACAUUGGGACUUAUCUUGAGGAGGAGAUCAGAAUACAAUGGACAAGGUCUAGAAGUCACCCAUCCGCUUGCUCAUUCAGGUAUACAUACCUGAUGGACUAUAGCCUUGAACCCUUUUUGCAAUGGAGUAGAGGUAUAAAUAAAUAAAUAAAUAAGAGAAAAUACAUAAAAUAUGUCAGAAACUGUCCUAGAAGAAUGGUGUUCAGAGAGGAAAGACUCAGCCUGGAGAAGGGAAAGGCCAACAACAUGAGGAUUCAGGCCCCACCACAAAGCACAAAGUGGCAGAAAGGGAAGGGAGUGUCAGGUAAGUAAGUCACUCACAUUCUGUUCUGGACAUACAAAUGUCUCUCCUUUAAUUCUUUGAUGCAUUUAUUUCCUCGUUUUGUUCUCCCUCACCCAGGAGGCAAUGAUGUGUAUCCUCUGAUAUGUAUGGGCUCUUAUAAACCAUGUGCUGCUGCUUUGUACAUAUUUUUACAUAAAUAGUACUGUACUAUGUAUCUGAUUCUCUGUCUUGCUUUUUUCAUUCAAUUCUAGUUUGUAAAGAAUGAAUCGGGUUGCUGAGUAUACAGUUAAUCCUCAGAUUUUGUGUUUGCAAAUUCACUGACUCACAAAAAUUCAUUUGUAAGCCCCAAAUCAAUACUUGGGGAGCUUCAGGGCUCAUUCAUGGUCCUUCACGGACAUGAGCAGGGUGGAGAAAAAUGUGAGUCA
rnacentral:lncRNA from 1 species